rnacentral:rRNA from 1 species
UACGGAGGGUGCAAGCGUUAUCCGGAUUUACUGGGUUUAAAGGGUGCGUAGGUGGAUUGGUAAGUCAGUGGUGAAAUACUACAGCGCAACUGUGGAACUGCCAUUGAUACUAUCAAUCUUGAAUGCAGUGGAGGCAGGCGGAAUGUGUCAUGUAGCGGUGAAAUGCUUAGAUAUGACACAGAACACCUAUUGCGAAGGCAGCUUACUACGCAGAUAUUGACGCUCAUGCACGAAAGCGUGGGGAUCAAACAGGA